rnacentral:rRNA from 1 species
AUUGAACGCUGGCGGCAUGCCUUACACAUGCAAGUCGAACGGUAACAGGUUAAGCUGACGAGUGGCGAACGGGUGAGUAAUGUAUCGGAACGUGCCCAGUCGUGGGGGAUAACUACUCGAAAGAGUGGCUAAUACCGCAUACGACCUGAGGGUGAAAGCGGGGGACCGUAAGGCCUCGCGCGAUUGGAGCGGCCGAUACCAGAUUAGCUAGUGGGGGGGGUAAAAGCCCACCAAGGCGACGAUCGGUAGCUGGUCUGAGAGGACGACCAGCCACACUGGGACUGAGAGGCGGCCGAGACUGCUACGGGAGGCAGGAGUGGGGGAUUUUGGACAAUGGACGCAAGUCUGAUCCAGCCAUGCCGCGUGCGGGAAGAAGGCCUUCGGGUUGUAAACCGCUUUUGUCAGGGAAGAAACGAGUUUCUCUAAUACAGAGACUGAAUGACGGUACCUGAAGAAUAAGCACCGGCUAACUACGUGCCAGCCGCCGCAGUAACAC